rnacentral:rRNA from 1 species
UACAGAGGUCUCAAGCGUUGUUCGGAUUCAUUGGGCGUAAAGGGUGCGUAGGCGGCGCGGUAAGUCGGGUGUGAAAUCUCGGAGCUUAACUCCGAAACUGCAUUCGAUACUGCCGUGCUUGAGGACUGGAGAGGAGACUGGAAUUUACGGUGUAGCGGUGAAAUGCGUAGAUAUCGUUUGGAACGCCAAUGGUGAAAACAGGUAGCUGGGGAUGUGCCGACGCUGAGACACGAAAGCCAGGGGAGCGAACGGG